rnacentral:tRNA from 1 species
CCUGGUGGCUCAGAUGGUAAAGAAUCUGCCUAUGAUGCAGGAGACCUAGGUUCAAUUCCUGGGUCAGGA